GCCGCGGUAGUAUAGUGGUUAAUACCCUAGUAUCUUUACUAGAGGUCGGGGGUUCGAAUCCUCCUCGGGGCA